UACAUCAGAGUGCGUUUCAUUGAAUUGAUCUAGCCGCGCAACAAAUCUCUACCUUGCACCGGUCGGAGGCGCAUCCUCGGCAGCUGUUGACGGCGUUUGCGGGGAUCGGUUUCCCUCUUCCUCCGCUGCCAUGUGGAUGCCGUCAUUUGUAGUCGCUCAUACUGGAGGAGUUUUAAAAAAAAAGUCAUCUGCAGCGACUUAUGCUGGAGGAGCACGAAUUCUACAAGCUUGCUGGAGCCUUUAACGGAUUGGAUGUGCCGUCUGCAUGUGUGUUCAGUUCGAGAUGAAGAGUUAAAAGAAUGAUGGAUUGCAGAUGAUCUUGAUGCCUUGAAAAUGAAUCAAUGCUUUUUGCUUUAGAAUGAUGCAGGAACCCUCGCAUAUUUGACAUCGUACCUGGGCAACAACUUAGCCCAACUUUGCUCACUUAUUGCUACACCUGGGUGGUUUAAGUAUAACACAUCACUCGUAGGGGACACCCCAGCAAAUAUUAUUUGCAUGUUUGAUUGCGAAAUGGAAUUGUGAGGGGAAUGGAAGCAACUUGUGAAUGGAAACCUUAUAGGAAAGGUAUUGAAUGUGUUUGGUUUAAUCAUGGAAUCAAAGUUAGGGAUGGAAUGCUGAGUGCCAAUUCCAUUCCUUUGUUAUAUGCAAUGGAACCGAAAUUCUAUUGAUAUGAAUUUUACCAUAAUGCUCUGGUAUAUAAAUUUGUUUUC